rnacentral:lncRNA from 1 species
AUUUUUGGAGUAAAUCGUCCAAGAUAAAUGUAUGUAUGUAUGUAUGUAUCAAUUUAUAUAGCGCACUAUCGCAUGGAACUGAAUCCCGAUCUAAUGACGCUGUUUCGUUUCCAAUUUGGAAGAUGUGAUUGAACACAUCACCGUAUGUUUAACGUCAUAUCCUUGAAAGCAAUCCAGGAUCCCUGUGUUAUGCGUGCUGCCUUUCUCCACGGCGCGACUGCUACAGGUUUUUGACGGGUUCAGCUGGGUUUCGAAACCAGAGCCUCAUUACCUUAUUUCCAAAGCGUUGACGCUCUAA